rnacentral:rRNA from 1 species
UUUAUUAAAAACAUGGCUUUUUGAAGUUUAAAUUUAAAGUCUGGCCUGCCCAAUGAUAAUUUUAAAUGGCCGCGGUAUCUUAACCGUGCAAAGGUAGCAUAAUCAUUAGUUUUUUAAAUGAAAGCUUGUAUGAAAGGUUGGAUGAAAAAAUGACUGUCUCUAUUUAAACUAUUUAGAAUUUUAUUUUUAAGUAAAAAAGCUUAAAUAAUUAUAAAAGACGAGAAGACCCUAUAGAGUUUUAUAUUAUUUAGUAUUUAAGUUUUUAGAAAUUAUAUUUUAAAUAUAUUGUAGUAUUUGGUUGGGGGAUUAAAAAAUUUAAUAAACUUUUUUUUUAUAAAUACAUUUAUUUAUGAGUAUUUGAUCCUUAGAAGAGAUUAUAAGAAUAAAUUACCUUAGGGAUAACAGCGUAAUUUUUUUUGAGAGUUCUAAUCGAAAAAAAAGGUUGCGACCUCGAUGUUGGAUUAAAAUUUAUUUUUGGUGUAGCAGCUGAAUAAUUAGGUCUGUUCGACCUUUAAAAUUUUACAUG